UACGUAGGCAGCGAGCGUUGUUCGGAGUUACUGGGCGUAAAGGGUGUGUAGGCGGUUGUUUAAGUUUGGUGUGAAAUCUCCCGGCUCAACUGGGAGGGUGCGCCGAAUACUGAAUGACUUGGAGUGCGGGAGAGGAGAGUGGAAUUCCUGGUGUAGCGGUGAAAUGCGAAGAUAUCAGGAGGAACACCGGUGGUGUAGACGGCUCUCUGGACCGUAACUGACGCUGAGACGCGAAAGCGUGGGGAGCGAACAGG
rnacentral:rRNA from 1 species